CCUACGGGUGGCAGCAGUGGGGAAUAUUGCGCAAUGGGCGAAAGCCUGACGCAGCGACGCCGCGUGAGGGAUGAAGGUCUUCGGAUCGUAAACCUCUGUCAGCAGGGAAGAACGGUCACUGUGCUAAUCAGCAGUGAAUUGACGGUACCUGACUAAGAAGCUCCGGCUAACUACGUGCCAGCAGCCGCGGUAAUACGUAGGGGGCAAGCGUUAUCCGGAUUUACUGGGUGUAAAGGGAGCGUAGGCGGCUGUGCAAGUCUGAAGUGAAAGCCCGGGGCUCAACCGCGGAACUGCUUUGGAAACUGUAUAGCUUGAGUGCUGGAGAGGCAGGCGGAAUUCCUGGUGUAGCGGUGAAAUGCGUAGAUAUUAGGAGGAACACCAGUGGCGAAGGCGGCCUGCUGGACAGAAACUGACGUUGAGGCUCGAAAGCGUGGGGAGCAAACAGGAUUAGAUACCCUUGUAGUC
rnacentral:rRNA from 1 species